rnacentral:rRNA from 1 species
AUAAUUUAGAGUUUGAUCCUGGCUCAGGAUGAACGCUGGCGGCGUGGAUAAGGCAUGCAAGUCAUACGGGCCGCACCUCAUUGCAUUCGGUGCGGAAUUUUCAAUUUUCAAUUUUACAAUUUUCAAAUAAUUUCCAAUGAUUAAAUUUCCAAUUUCCAAACACGACGUCGUCGGCGUUUGAAAAUUGACCCAUUGAAAAUUUAUUGAAAAUUGAAAAUUGAUAAUUGAAAAUUCCGCCGCACCGAGUGUGGCGAGGUGCGGCUAGUGGCGAACGAGGCAGUAAUACGCAGGAACGUACCCUGGAGACGGGCAUAACCAGCCGAAAGGUUGGCUAAUUCCCGAUGGUCCGAGCACAUAUUUUUGGAGAAAAACAAAAGGCGCAUCCUGUACCUGUAUAGAUACUUUGGAUGCGCCCUGCAACAUUGAGCGGUUUCUAGAGGAACAGGAAAGUAGCAAUCAUUACGGCGAUGAUACCGACUAAGACCCAAGACAUCCAACGAAGCUGACUUGGGCCAUAGUCUAUUCUUCCGCUCUGUCCUCUCGCGAUUUUCAUGACGACCUCCUUUUUCGCUGAAGAAAGAAAAGCAUAGGGGUCUAUAUAUUGUCAAGUAUCUUACUUGGCUUCCAAAAAUAUGUGCUCGGUAAAGGAGCAAUCUGCUCCGGGAGCGGCCUGCGGGCUAUCAGCUAGUUGGUGGGGUAACGGCCUACCAAGGCUCUGACGGCUAGGGGGGGUGAGAGCCCGAUCCCCGCCGAUGACACUGCGACACGGGUCAUACACCUACGGGUGGCAGCAGCCGAGAAUAUUCGACAAUGGGCGAAAGCCUGAUCGAGCGACGCCGCGUGGUGGAUGAAGCACUUCGGUGCGUAAACACCUUUUAUGAGGGAAGAAGUUCGCCGCACCUCAUUGCAUUCGGUGCGGACAUUUCGAUAUAUCGAAAUUUCGAAAUAUCGAAAUGUCCGCCGCACCGAGUGCAGCGAGGUGCGGCGGAUUGACGGUACCUCAUGAAUAAGGGGCUCCUAAUCACGUGCCAGCAGGAGCGGUAAUACGUGAGCCCCAAGCGUUAUCCGGAAUCACUGGGCGUAAAGGGUGUGUAGGCGGCCGCGUUAGUCCUCCGUUAAAUCCCACGGCUCAACCGUGGAGCUGCGGAGGAUACGGCGCGGCUUGAGGGCGCGAGAGGUGUGCGGAACUCACGGUGUAGGGGUGAAAUCCGUUGAUAUCGUGGGGAACACCAAAAGCGAAGGCAGCACACUGGCGCGCCCCUGACGCUGAAACACGAAAGCGUGGGUAGCGAAGCAGAUUAGAUACCUGCGUAGUCCACGCCCUAAACUCUGUCCGCUAGCUUUUCGGAGUAUCGACCCUCUGGGAGGCGAAGCUAACGCGUUAAGCGGACCGCCUGGGAACUACGGCCGCAAGGCUAAAACUCAAAGGAAUAGACGGGGACCAGCACAAGCGGUGGAUCAUGUGGUUCAAUUCGAUGGUAAACGAAGAACCUCACCAGGGCUUGAAAUCCAGAUGAACUCGCCUCGAAAGGGGUGCGGCCUUCACAAGAGGCAUCUGGACAGGUGCUGCAUGGUUGUCGUCAGUUCGUGGCUUAAGUUGUUCCCUUUAGUGGGGUAACGAACGCAACCCCCGUCGCCUGUUAUACGUGUCAGGCGAGACUGCCCAGCCCAAAGUGCGGCUCACUUCGGUUCGCCGCAGAAUCAAGAAGUAUGAAGUAUGAAGUAUGGAAAUGUACGAAGAAAAACCAUAAUUCAUGAUUCAUAAUUCUUGCUUCUGCAUCGAGCGGAGCGAGAUGCAUUUCGGGCUGGGAGGAAGGCGGGGAUGACGCCAAAUCAGCAUGGCCCUCUGACGCCCUGGGCUACACACGUGAUACAAUGGCCGGUACAACGGGUCGCGACGGGGUAACCCUGAGCCAAUCCUUAUAAAGCCGGCCUCAGUUCGGAUUGAGGUCUGCAACUCGACCUCAUGAAGCUGGAAUCGCUAGUAAUCGCAGGUCAGCUAUACUGCGGUGAAUACGUUCUCUGGUCUUGUACUCACCGCCCGUCAUGCUAAGGGAGCCGGGAAUACCCGAAACCCCGCCCUUUGCUCGCGGAGCAAAGGGCGGGAUAUAUCGAAAUUUUGAAAUAUCGAUAUGUCCCGCCCUUUGUUCACUUCGUGAACAAAGGGCGGGGUUACGGUAAGCUCGGUGACAGGAGCAAAGUCGUUGAGACAUACUGUCUUGUUGCGACCUAUGUGAGCGAUCACAUAGUAA